rnacentral:lncRNA from 1 species
UCGGGACAUAAACCUCGUCGUUCUCAAGAGAUUGAGUGUUGGCGUGGUGACGUCUGUGGCUAAUUUUCCAAGAGAAGUAAGGGACCAUGAGAGAAGAGUGGACAACAAGGCCGACAAGGUCAUUGAUCCAGCCAUAGUCACUGAAGGCAUCAUGAUCACACUCAUGGCCUACGACCCAAGCCCCAGUCAAGACACAACCUUGGACAGCAAUGUAAGCCGCCCAUCCCAAGUAAUUAAGAGGAUGCGGAAGGUACUGGUCUAUGUAAUUCGUGGCAACAUAGUAAAGGGCAUAGGCCAUGAGGAGAUCUUGAAUGAGAUAACGAAAAGAAGUGAUGAGGGAUUUUUCAAAGCAAUGAGCAGGAAUGGCUUUCUUAAGGUCACCUAUGGUGAAAGGAGGUUUCUCAUGAGGAGCACGUCGAAGUGCUUCUGUUUCAGUUUUUUUGGCCUUAGGAGGAUCCGACAUUCGACCACCUGCACCCAUUGUUCCUGAUUACUGAAUGCCUUCAAUAUAAUCAGGAAGUAAAAUAAUUGAGUUGUGUUGGCUGUUUGAUGAAGUUUGGUGGUGUUUAGUUGAAGCUGAAGCUCUGAGUAUUUAUAAUGAAGAUAUCAUUGUAAAAUUUUAUUGGAACGGCUCGUGUUGUGGACUGUGGUGGCCUAUAGCGCCCGCCACACUUGAGUUUUCAACGUGCAAAAUAUUAUUCUUCUACUUGAAUCUGGUGUUCUGCAAGAUAUUAGUUGCCCUGUCAUGAUAAUUUGCAAAUAAGGUCAAAUAAAUUCUCAGUCUCAUAAGGCUACUCCAGGACACCACUCUUGAGUCCUUAUUGGCAGCUAUUCUUUAUUGAUUAAUGCAUUGGUAGAUUUACUUUUAGAAUAUAAAAAUAUAAUUUUAAAGUAAAGGGAUAGUGGGAUUUUAUACUAAAAGCUUAAAAAGAUUGCACUUUGCUAUCUUUGUAUCAUUUAUCAACUUCUUGCAGGUUACUUAGCAUGCCUCGUAUAGAACUCCCGCUGUUAAGAAAUACUAAACUUAAAGUGUUUUUAAUUUCAAUUUUAUUAAAAAAUUUGAUUACAUCAACAUAUUAUGAAAAACAGUUUCGAAUUUGAUGUUAUCAAGACUAGUUGGUAUUAUUAGGAAAAAUUGUUAGUAUUGCCUUUUGGGAUAUAUAUCAUGGAUUGGUUGAGCAUGACUAAACAAGACUGUUUUCUCAUAAUAUAUAGUUUUUCCCAUUUUAUGAAUGGCCAAGUAGCAAAACAUAUUGUUCAGAUUUUCUUGCAGAAGCACAAGACAAUGGUAGAUGUGUGGUGUGAAAUUCGAGGGAUUCCAGACCUCUUCUGGUGAGAUUCGCUCAUCAUCUUUAUUAACAGUUACUCUUAUGUGACAACAAAUCAGCUCCGCACAUAUGUGUUGAGAGGACUAAUAAGUGGUUUUAGUUUUAAUUUUAUUAGUGAUUACAUCAACAUAUUUGUGAAAUACAGUUUUGAAUUUGAUGUUAUCCAGACUAGUUAGUAUUAUUAGGAAAAAAGAAGUUAGUAUUACCUUUUGGGAUAUAUCAUGCAUUGGUUCAGCAUGACUAAACCAGUCUGUUUUUUCAUAAUAUAUCAUUUUUCCCAAUUUAUGAAUGGCUAAGAAACAAAACAUAUUGUUUAGAUUUUCUUAUAGAGCAUAAGGCAAUGGUAGAUGUGUGGUGUAAACUUCAAGUGAUUCCGGACCUCUUCUUCUAGUGAGAUCUGCUUAUCAAUUUUAUCAACGGUUACUCUUAUGUGACAACAAAUCAGCUCUGCAUUGCUCAUAAUCAUAUAUACGUAUUUAGAGGACUAAUAAUUUUUUUAUCAUGUUGCAAGCUAUAAAUUAACAAAAUGAUAUCACCAUUGCUGCUGAUAUAAGCAUUCAUCAAUAGGUUGUUCAUCUGUUCUGGCACCAAAACUUUAUAUAUUACUUGGUGCUCUGUGGCAGGCUACUUUCUAAGAUUGGAAUUUUCAAUCUCUUUUAACCCUCAAAUCUUUACAUGAAAUGAUACGAUCGAUUAAUCAUGUCAAACAUUAACAAGACUAGUGAAGCAAAAGCAAGAGUAGCUGAUCUCUCUCAAUUUCUUUAUAUAAACAAAUUAUAUAUUAGAUAUAAUCAUCUUUAACAUUUUUAAGUUUUUCAACACAUAAUGAGAUUGUCCUUGUUCAAUAAAUAAACCAGCAUGCUCUAAGAUGUUUCUGAAUCUUAAUCAUCCACUGGAAGAAGGAUUACUGUAUCAGGCAUAUUAAAGGCACAUGCUCUUUCCCACAGACUAAAUCACUAAGAUCAUAGUUUUUAAUAAUGUCAAUAUUUCAUAAAUUUUCAUAAAUGGAAUUUUCUUUUUUGCCAAAUUAAUUUUUAUUAUGUCUCAUAAAACUAUCUGUUACUCCUUUUGCAAAUAAGGAAAAAUUCAACCAGGGACUAUGAACGGGCAAGCAUGGAAAGGCCUCAUCUUUAAAACUCUGAAUCAUCUCUUCCUAAAAACUUCAACUCUUCUGGAAAACUUUCUGAAAAUGGAAAAAAAAAAAUAAAAAUAUUUUACCUUCGAGUUAACUAAGCGAACUCAAAUGCACCAUUGGUUGCCUUUUCGAUACAGAACUACCUUUAUCCUUCUAAAUUUUAGUUUCAUGCAAAGCACAAAAAUGUUUUGAGAUUAUACACACAUUCAACAUAAGUAAUUUAUUUUUGUAGAGUACUAAUUGUAUUAACCCCACAAACAAAAUACACAGGGCAUGCCCUACUAAAAGUGGAGCAAACUCAUCCUACAAGAGGUCUCACAAGAAAGCCUGUGAGAGUGAGACCACCUUGACAGAGAACCAUAUCUCUUUGUCUUGAACUUAAAGGAAAUUUUAUCAUUGUUUAAAUUCCCAUAUUAUUUUGAAACAUUUGAAAAGCAUUUCUUAAUAUUUUAGUUACAUUUAUUUUCUAUCUUUGUACAAGAUUCCAGCCUGCCUUUUAAGGGAAAUGAGCUUUUCUUCCUGAUACAGUUCUGGCCUUUAAGCUUAGGAAAGUUUUUGGUCAAUAAUCAAAGGUGCUCUCCCUCUCAGGUGUUUGAUUAAAUUUCAUAUCUUUCUUUUUUUUUAUGUUGGUUUGUAGUACUUUGUGUUUGAUUGUCUCAGAAAAACUGAGGUUCACUGUAAUAUGUUUCAUGGAAUAUUUGCAGCAUCCACAAUGGGGACCUCCACUCAUUUUACAAAGUAUGUUCUUGGACAAUCAUAAUUUCAUUGAUGCAAUCAUACUAGGCUACAUUACAACUUACAAAUUAUCCACUGCUUGUGGACUCAUCUUAUUCAAAAUGAGCAAUAAACUAAUGAACCUACAACAUGCUAUCUAAGGAAAUGUAGAAAAUUGCAACAUGGGAAUGAGUAGAGAAAGGAGUCAAUAUCGUUUUCAGUUUCAAAUGUCCUUUCUGUACCAGUAGACCCCUUUGGUCUCUCCUUCAUCUUUCUCGACGUAAAUGCAUUCCUUCAUUUCUCUGUACAUUGCCUUAAGAAUCGGAGUUCCAUCGUAUUGAUAAUAAUCACCCAAUACAGGCUUCAUGGCCUCUGUGGCUUCGAGUCCGUGGUAAUGUGGGAUCAUGGAGAAAAUGUGGUGGCAAACAUGAGCAUUGCAUACAUUGUGGAAUACCUUGUUCAAAAUCCCAUAGUCUCUGUCAACGGUACAGAGAGCUCCCCUCAACCAAUCCCAUUCUGAUGAAUCGUAGUAAGGGACAGAUGGAUGAGUAUGAUUGAGGAUUGUGAUCAGUGUGAACCAUCCGUUAACAACUAGCAAUGGACCUCCAUAAACACAGAAGACCCAUGCAAAUCCUUUGAUUAAUACGAGACGGUAUAGACCAUAGAUGACAGUAAGAAUGGCAACAUCAGAAACAAUGAUCUGUUUACGCUCACGUUCUGUGUACAGAGGGCUAUGGGGAUCAUAGUGUGAAGUCCACCUCUCAUACUUGUGUCCCGAAACAUUGAACAUCAAGUAUAAAGGAAAACCUAUGAGGAGAGUGGUAACCCACACAAGCACACGGCCAGGAGGAUUGUUGAAAAUUUUGUAGUAGUUCCUGAUGUUAUACUUAAAUCUAGGGACAUAAACCUCAUCGUUCUCAAGGGAUUGAGUGUUGGCGUGGUGACGUCUAUGGCUAAUUUUCCAAGAGAAGUAAGGGACCAUGAGAGAAGAGUGGACAACAAGGCCAACAAGGUCAUUCACCCAACCAUAAUCACUGAAGGCAUCAUGAUCACACUCGUGGCCUACGACCCAAGCCCCGGUUAAGACACAACCUUGGACAGCAAUGUAAGCUGCCCAACCUAAGUAAUUAAGAGGAUGUGGAAGGUACUGGUCUAUGUAAUUUGUGGCAACAUAGUAAAGGGCAUAGGCCAUGAGGAGAUCUUGAAUGAG